UUUAUUCCGUGGGCGAGGCGUACGGAAAUUCUGGAAUUGUUAUUGCAAAAGUUACGUUUUCGGUUGUUGAACGAGAUUUUGGUUGUUUCAAAUGUGUUAACAGUGGUCUCUGGAGACUUCUGGCUCAACUUUGAUAACUCUAGACCUAUAACAGACCAACUGGUGCAGUGGUGUUUCAGGCUUCGAUGGUAAAUAUUUUUCCUUCAAAAUUGAAAGGUCCGCCAGUUCGGUUGCUCUCAAGAUCUCCAUAGACAAUUGACGGAUAGCUGGAACUAGGCCUAUAAUGAAUUUAAAUCCGUGGUAAAUAAGUGGUAGUUUGUCCGUAAUGAAGCUCUGAAAGUGUAAACCUCAUUAGCCUCGUGUCUCCAAAGAAGCUGAGAAAGUAUAGCCCAAUAGCCUUCGUAAUAGUAGGCUAUACGGUACGCUAUUGACAUGCUGGCCACGCGAAAAUUAAGAUUGUUUAUAUGGAGUCUUAAAAUAC